AACUUAAAGAAUUGACGGGGGAGCACCACAACGGGUGGAGCUUGCGGUUUAAUUGGAUUCAACGCCGGAAAUCUUACCGGGACCGACAGCAAUAUGAAGGCCAGGCUGAAGACUUUGCCGGAUUAGCUGAGAGGUGGUGCAUGGCCGUCGUCAGUUCGUACUGUGAAGCAUCCUGUUAAGUCAGGCAACGAGCGAGACCCACGCCCACAGUUGCCAGCGUACUCUCCGGAGUGACGGGUACACUGUGGGGACCGCCGCUGCUAAAGCGGAGGAAGGAAUGGGCAACGGUAGGUCAGUAUGCCCCGAAUAUCCCGGGCUACACGCGAGCUACAAUGGUUGGUACAAUGGGUAUCUACCCCGAAAGGGGACGGGAAUCUCCUAAAACCAAUCUUAGUUCGGAUUGAGGGCUGCAACUCGCCCUCAUGAAGCUGGAAUCCGUAGUAAUCGCGUUUCAACAGAACGCGGUGAAUACGUCCCUGCUCCUU
rnacentral:rRNA from 1 species